UUUUUACGUGUACUCUCUACAGCGGGUGAAAUACGCUCAGCGGCAGACGGGUGAGUAACGCGUGGUAACGUACCUUUUGGUUCGGAACAACACACGGAAACUUGUGCUAAUACCGGACAAGCCCUUACGGGGAAAGAUUUAUCGCCGAAAGAUCGGCCCGCGUCUGAUUAGCUAGGUGGUGAGGUAAUGGCUCACCAAGGCGACCAUCACUAGCUGGCCUGAUAGGAUGAUCAGCCACAUUGGGACUGAGACACGGCCCAAACUCCUACGGGAGGUAGCAGUGGGCAACAUUGUACAAUGGGGGCAACCCUGAUCCACCCAUGCCGCGUGAGUGAUGAAGGCCCUAGGGUUGUAAAGCUCUUUUGUGCCGUAAGAUAAUGACGGCACCGCAAGAAUAAGCCCCGGCUAACUUCGUGCCAGCAGCCGCGGGAAUACGAAUGGGGCUAGCGUUGCUCGGAAUCACUGGCCGUAAAGGGUGCGUAGGCGGGUCUUUAAGUCAGGCGCGAAAUCCUGGAGCUCAACUCCAGAACUGCCUUUGAUACUGACGAUCUUGAGUUCGGGAGAGGUGUAGUGCAACUGCCCAGUGUACACGGGAAAUUCGUAUAUAUUCGCAAGAAACACCCAUGGCGAAGGCGGCUCACUGGCCCCGAUACUGUACUCUGAUUCCACGAAAAGCCCUGGGGAGGCAAAACAGAGAUUAGGAUAUCCUUGGGUAGAUCCUCUGCCCGUAAAACCGAUGAAAGGCCUAGGCCCGUUAGUUGGGGUUGUACUUCCCCUAGAUGGGGCGCCCC
rnacentral:rRNA from 1 species